AGGACGAACGCUGGCGGCGUGCCUAACACAUGCAAGUGGAGCGACGAACCAGGCUUCGGCCUGGGGCAAAGCCGCGAACGGGUGAGUAACACGUGGGUAACCUGCCCCGAUGAUUGGGACAACCCGAGGAAACUCGGGCUAAUACCGAAUGUGCCCUCCGACCAUAAGGUCGCUGGGGAAAGGAAGCUUCGGCCUCCGCAUUGGGAUGGGCCCGCGGCCCAUUAGCUUGUUGGUGAGGUAACGGCUCACCAAGGCAACGAUGGGUAGCUGGUCUGAGAGGACGAUCAGCCACACUGGGACUGAGACACGGCCCAGACUCCUACGGGAGGCAGCAGUGGGGAAUCUUGCGCAAUGCGCGAAAGCGUGACGCAGCAACGCCGCGUGGGGGAAGAAGGCCUUCGGGUUGUAAACCCCUUUCAGUUGGGACGAGCUUCGUCGGUGAUAGCCGGCUGGAGUGACGGUACCUUCAGAAGAAGCCCGGCAACUACGCGCCAGCAGCCGCGGU
rnacentral:rRNA from 1 species